rnacentral:rRNA from 1 species
GCGAACGCUGGCGGCAGGCCUAACACAUGCAAGUCGAACGCACUCUUCGGAGUUAGUGGCGGACGGGUGAGUAACACGUGGGAACGUGCCUUUAGGUUCGGAAUAACUCAGGGAAACUUGUGCUAAUACCGAAUGUGCCCUUCGGGAGAAAGAUUUAUCGCCUUUAGAGCGGCCCGCGUCUGAUUAGCUAGUUGGUGAGGUAAAGGCUCACCAAGGCGACGAUCAGUAGCUGGUCUGAGAGGAUGAUCAGCCACAUUGGGACUGAGACACGGCCCAAACUCCUACGGGAGGCAGCAGUGGGGAAUCUUGCGCAAUGGGCGAAAGCCUGACGCAGCCAUGCCGCGUGAAUGAUGAAGGUCUUAGGAUUGUAAAAUUCUUUCACCGGGGACGAUAAUGACGGUACCCGGAGAAGAAGCCCCGGCUAACUUCGUG